rnacentral:rRNA from 1 species
CACGUAGGGUGCGAGCGUUGUCCGGAAUUAUUGGGCGUAAAGAGCUCGUAGGCGGCUUGUCGCGUCGUCUGUGAAAACCCGCGGCUCAACGGCGGGCUUGCAGUCGAUACGGGCAGGCUAGAGUUCGGUAGGGGAGACUGGAAUUCCUGGUGUAGCGGUGAAAUGCGCAGAUAUCAGGAAGAACACCCGUGGCUAAGGCGGUUCUCUAGUACGGUACUGACGCUGAGACGCGAAAGCGUGGGGAGCAAACGGG